AUACGGAGGGUGCAAGCGUUACUCGGAAGCACUGGGCGUAAAGCGCGCGCAGGCGGUCUUUUAAGUUGGAUGUGAAAGCCUACAGCUCAACUGUAGAACUGCAUCCAAAACUAUUAGACUAGAGUCUGGGAGGGGAAGAUGGAAUUAGUUGUGUAGGGGUAAAAUCCGUAGAGAUAACUAGGAAUACCAAAAGCGAAGGCGAUCUUCUGGAACAGUACUGACGCUGAGGCGCGAAAGCGUGGGGAGCAAACAGGAUUAGAAACCCCAGUAGUCC
rnacentral:rRNA from 1 species